GCCCCCUCCUGGUGCAAUGGGUCAGUGUGUCUGGCUGUGAACCCGAAGGUUGGUGGUUCAAGCCCAUCUAGGGACG